rnacentral:rRNA from 1 species
AUGUCUUCAUCCUCCGGCGCCGCUCAGCCUAGCCUCAAUGGCCAGGUCACCGAGAAGCUCAAUCGCACGAAUUACGUGCUGUGGCGCACGCAGGUCACACCCCACCUGCGGGGCGCCGGUGUCUUCGGCUACGUCGACGGCACCACGCCGGAGCCGGCCCGACUCCACGUCACCAAGGACAAGGACGGCAAGGAGUCCUCUGUGCCCAACCCUCUCCACCCAAUUUGGGUCCGGGAGGAUCAACAAGUGCUUGGCUAUCUGCUGAGUACUCUGUCCAAGGAGGUGCUGGUCGCGGUCACCGCGAUC